GUCAGAUGUUCAACCCACUGAGCCACCCAGGUUUUUAUUCCAUUUGGUAGAAUUCAUUCAGUAUAUUCAGGAGGUUAAAGUUACACAUGAGGAACUGGCCUAUUUCAUGGAUUUCAUGGAUGAAGAACAAUGGUCCUUAUAAAUUGAAAAUAGUCUACAAUAUAUAAAAAAUAUAUAUAUAUAAGAAAAUUUGACAGGAUCCUGGAAAAGAAGCAACCAAAUCAGGAAUUCAAUCGUAUAAAAUGGGAUAACAAGGGAUGACAUGUUUAUAAAUCAGGCACAGAAACCUCAAUCAUGGAAUGGAUAAUCAUGGUCUGUUGCCCAAAUGCUACUUCUGAGUAGGGAGAACAAAAACAGCAACAAAUACAGAGUAGUCAUAACACUAUAUGAUUGUCUGUGGAGUCUGAAUUCUUCAUACCUAAUUGGUGGAGGAGAAAAGAGGAACUAGAGUUUCGGUACUACUUUGCUCUGCGUCUACACUGUCUUAAGAACUACAGGGGACAGACCCUACAGUAGGAACUUCUCUGAAUCCACUUUGAAAAACAGAGCAUUCCAACUGAGGAAACAGCCCGAUUUAUUGCACCUUUUUAAGCUAAUACCAAAGAUCCAUUGAAGAAGUAGUGAAAGCACAAGGAAGCUCAGGGAAGCUCGGCCCCUCUGGCUACAGGCCAGAGCCUACUAGCUUGCCACUUGGAGUUAUUGCGAUGCAAAUGCCUGGAAGCCAGGCACUCACUGAAUCUGAAUUAAUACUGAAGGGGAGAGAGGAAGAAACAAUAACAGCAAUAAACAAAAACACAAACAGAAUCACUGUGUGGAAAAAAAGCUUGGCAUUUUGAGCCUAUAAUAAGAAUCUAAAUUGGUUCAUUCAGCAGCACCAAAGAAAACAGGGCAUAUCAAAAGUACCUGGAGGGAUUCUUGAA